rnacentral:tRNA from 2 species
GCCGGCAUGGCGGAACUGGCAGACGCCUGGGACUUAAAAUCCCAUGGGUAGUAAUACCCGUACCGGUUCGAUUCCGGUUGCCGGCA